GUGCCAGCCGCCGCGGUAAUACGGAGGGUGCAAGCGUUGUCCGGAAUCACUGGGUGUAAAGGGUGUGCAGGCGGGGCAACAAGUCGGAUGUGAAACCACAUGGCUCAACCACGGAAGUGCCUUCGAAACUGUUGCUCUUGAGUCCCGGAGAGGUUGCCGGAAUCCGUGGUGUAGCGGUGAAAUGCGUAGAUAUCACGAGGAACACCAGAGGCGAAAGCGGGCAACUGGACGGGUACUGACGCUCAGGCACGAAAGCGCGGGUAGCAAACAGGAUUAGAUACCCUGGUAGUCC
rnacentral:rRNA from 1 species